rnacentral:lncRNA from 1 species
GGGCAGCUGGGCCGGUUUUGAAGGAUGCCUAGGAAUUUGACAAACAUGCUCCGGCCUCCUCUGCCUCUCAGCCUUUCAUUAUGAAUGCAACAAUGAAUCAGAUAAGAGGGAGUUUGAGAAGGCACUGGAGACCAUUGCUGUGUCCUUCAGCUGCACGUGAGCUCGGGGGGGCCAUGGGGGCAGAGUGGAGUUGGGGAGUGUGGCUGAAGUGGACCUCUGGAGUGACUCCCCUGGCCUUGCAGUGUGUCGGAGUUCCUUUUGGGUGAAGUGGACAGCAGUACACUCCUGGCUGUGCCUCCGGGGGACCCUAGCCAGUUGGUGGAGAACCUUUAUGGGUCAGGCAGUGAGGGGCCCCCACACAGCGUGGAGGAUUGUGAAGAAGGUUGCCUGCCCCCCGAGGAGGUGGACAUGCUUCUCCAGCGCUGCGAGGGAGGUGUGGACGCCGCGCUGCAGUAUGCAAAAGACAU